AGUUGUUUAUCUUUAAUUUGAAAGACUUCAUCUGUGAUCAAGGAAGUAUUAAUCUGACAAAGAUGGGAAAGCUUUCCUGACAAGAAAAAACAUGUUUGGUAAACAGAGUUACACAUUCUAUGUAUUUCCCUGUAGGUCAAAAGUUGCAAACUGAGAAAGUGAAAGUUUUUGUACUGGCAGUAAUUUAUUGUCUUUGAAUUGAGCCACUGUUGGUUUAUGUUAGAAUACAGUGUAUUCAUUGGUCUUAUUUACAGAGUCAGGUAUCUUUUUUACCCUGUAUACUAAGCCUUUUAUUCUCAGUCACAUUGAAGGAAAUGACAUAAAAGAAAAUUAAAAGGGGUACUCUAUAAAGCAAGGAAAGCCUUUGACUCAAGCAAAGGUAGAGUUUUUGAAAUAGAAGCACGUAAAUCCUGUUCUUUAAUUGUGUAUUUUUAAUAUAAUCAGUGGAUACUUUAUAAAAAGUGUACAUUGCCAAUCAUGUAAUAUUUUCUGUUAAUAUUUAUUGUCUUAUUUGGGAAAAGAAAACCUGUGUUGUGUUUUAGUGUGCCCAGUUACUUAAUCUGGAAAUGGCAGCGGUGAUUCGACCUAUCUUCUGUGAAUGUUUUCAUUUUUAUCAUGGAAGAUUUUAAAAUUGAUAAGUAUAGAAAAUGUGUGUCUGUGUAACACCACCAAAUUUAAUAAUGUUAACAUUAUACCAUGUUUGUUUCUAAUUUUUGUAAUGUUGAACACUGUGGAUAGAGUUAAAGCCCCCUUUGUGCCCAUCUCAUUCUAUCCAUUCUCCAUCCUUUAUAGGUAACCACUAUUCUGAAGUUGCUGUAUUAUUUCUGUACAUGCUUAUAUACCUUAUCUGCAUAUGUAUGUAUCCAUAAAUGAUAUGUAGUGUUUGUGUGUUUUUAAAUUUUACACGGUUGAUCUCAUGCUCUUACAUGUACUCUGAUUUUACACUCAGCAGUUAAUUGGAAGAUUUGUUGAUGUUAACAAUGUAGAUUUAGGUUUUUUUAAAACUGUAUAGCAUUCUUCUUUUAUGAUAUACACAUAUUGUUAGACAUUGGGAUUAUUUCCUCUGUGUUUGUGUGUGUGUGUGUGUGUGGUGUGUAAAGUGAGUAUGACAGAUUUUUGAAGGAAAAGAUAAAUUAUUUUAGUAGUAUAUUUACAUCAUCAAUACGUACUUCAAGUUCAAUGAAAAUUUGGAUGCCCAGAAAUACUUCACAGUUGGAAGAAUGAAAUCAUGUCUGUUGCACAGCUCGUUAUUAGUAAAGAAAGUACUGCAUGUCUUUGAUGGAGAAUCAAAUUAAACAUUUGUCCUGUAUUAAACACCUGAAAAAUGUUUCCUAUACCUUAGACAUUUAAGUAAAUGUAAUUUCUAAGUCAGCCAAGCAGAUGGUUAGUCUCUGUCUUUGCAUGGAAUUUUACCAGGUAGCUCCUUCUGUUUUAUUUUUUGUUGGCCUCCUUUUUUGUGGGGAAAGAAAUAACUGUUUUGUUAUCUUUUUUCCCCCUAUCUGCACAAAUAUAAAAUUCUCAGAAACUGUCUUCUUAAAUGUGACUUCCUACAAAUUAAUUAUAAUAUGGGUUCUUCUCAGAUUGUGUAUAAGAUUCUUUAACUGUUGUUACUAUCAGAUCACAUGUGGUGGAGGUUUGUGUAUAAAAUAGCCCUCCAACAUUUGUCCAAAAAUACAUGAUGUCUCAUUAAGAACUUUGGAACAUGAUUUUCUGUGUAAUAUUACUCUGCUCGAAAACUUAAGUAUUGGAGAAAAAAAGUACUUAUUUUUAAAACUUUAUGCUAUUGGGAAAAAUGUUUUCUGUAAUUAAUCAUAUUUCAGUAAUAUACUAUUGGGAUUUUUAAGUAUUUUUUUUCUAACUGAAUUACCUUUACCAAAUAACAUUAAACUAUAAGAUAACUUUGUGGCACUGAAAAUAAUAUGGAAAAGCUUUGUAUUUAAGAUUGAAAAA